AUGUCUACUGUCUUGGUUCCGGCCGUUUUCAAUUGGAGCAGGCAAAAUCCAGAAAAAAAUGCAGCGGACUUUCCCCUUGUCGACUUCUUCGGGAGCAGCUCGACUAGCGUUGCACCAGCACCUGCACCUGCUCCCGCAUCGGCUCCCGUACCUGCUCCGGCACCGGCUCCCGCACCUGCUCCGGCACCGGACGUGCUCGGCGGUGCUUCAUCUUUGGCUGAGCUCGACGCCCUCACGGCCGACGUAACCCCGUGCACCAUAUUGUACACCAUCGGCGACCAGAAGGUGGACGUGGGGAAGGCAACGAUAAUGAUGCCGAAAGAACCAUUGUUCCACGGCCGGCCGAUCCCCCAGGACGUCUUCAAGGUUUCCAUGGCCAGUGUCAAACCGGGCCACGAGAAUUUGGCUCCUCUAGUACUAGGGGGGAUGAUGACGAGACCCCAUGGCGGCUUGGUGAUUGCAAUGGGUGGGUCCUGUUGUGGCCAAAGAGUCUGCUUCGUCUGGAGGCGGCAGGGAGCACACAGCACGCAGGCAAGGUGUAUAGAUCAUCGAUGGCGAAGAAGUGCUAUGCCUGGAGUAUACAACGAGUGGCCGGAAUGUCUGGCCCAGGUGUACCGGUUUCCGGUUUUCGAGCGACAGCCAGUAGUUAGUUUAGGUUCACGCUAA
rnacentral:rRNA from 1 species